GAUGAACGCUGGCGGCGUGCUUAACACAUGCAAGUCGAACGAUGAAGCCCAGCUUGCUGGGUGGAUUAGUGGCGAACGGGUGAGUAACACGUGAGUAACCUGCCCUUAACUCUGGGAUAAGCCUGGGAAACUGGGUCUAAUACCGGAUAGGAGCGCCUACCGCAUGGUGGGUGUUGGAAAGAUUUAUCGGUUUUGGAUGGACUCGCGGCCUAUCAGCUUGUUGGUGAGGUAAUGGCUCACCAAGGCGACGACGGGUAGCCGGCCUGAGAGGGUGACCGGCCACACUGGGACUGAGACAAGGCCCAGACUCCUACGGGAGGCAGCAGUGGGGAAUAUUGCACAAUGGGCGAAAGCCUGAUGCAGCGACGCCGCGUGAGGGAUGACGGCCUUCGGGUUGUAAACCUCUUUCAGUAGGGAAGAAGCGAAAGUGACGGUACCUGCAGAAGAAGCACCGGCUAACUACGUG
rnacentral:rRNA from 1 species